rnacentral:rRNA from 1 species
GAUGAACGCUAGCUACAGGCUUAACACAUGCAAGUCGAGGGGAAACGACAUCGCAAGCUUGCUUUUGAUGGGCGUCGACCGGCGCACGGGUGAGUAACGCGUAUCCAACCUGCCCAUCACUUGGGAAUAACCUUGCGAAAGUAAGACUAAUACCCAAUGAUAUCCCACGAAGGCAUCGGAAUGGGAUUAAAGAUUUAUCGGUGAUGGAUGGGGAUGCGUCUGAUUAGCUUGUUGGCGGGGUAACGGCCCACCAAGGCAACGAUCAGUAGGGGUUCUGAGAGGAAGGUCCCCCACAUUGGAACUGAGCCACGGUCCAAACUCCUACGGGAGGCAGCAGUGAGGAAUAUUGGUCAAUGGGCGAGAGCCUGAACCAGCCAAGUAGCGUGCAGGAAGACGGCGCUAUGGGUUGUAAACUGCUUUUAUAAGGGAAUAAAGUGGGUCACGUGUGACUUUUUGCAUGUACCUUAUGAAUAAGGACCGGCUAAUUCCGUG